rnacentral:rRNA from 1 species
CCCUACGGGGUGCAGCAGGCGCGAAACCUUUACAAUGCACGAGAGUGUGAUAAGGGAACCCAAAGUGCUUUACUUAGUAAGGCUUUUACCAAGAGUAAAUAUCUUGGAGAAUAAGUGGUGGGCAAGACUGGUGCCAGCCGCCGCGGUAAUACCAUCGCCACGAGUGGGAACUAUAAUUAUUGGGCCUAAAGCGUCCGUAGCCUGUUUAAUAAAUUUCUUGUGAAAUUGUUGAGCUUAACUUAACAACGAACAGGAAAGACUGUUAAACUUGGGACUGGGAGGGGUUAGAAGUAUCUUUGGGGUAGCGAUAAAAUGUUAUAAUCCUAAAGAGACUACCAAUGGCGAAGGCAUCUAACCAGAACAGGUCCGACGGUGAGGGACGAAAGCUAGGGGAGCGAACCGGAUUAGAUACCCGAGUAGUCCUAGCCGUAAACGCUGCGAGCAAGAUGUUGCGUAUUCUUCGUGAAUAUACAGUAUCGAAGAGAAGUCGUUAAGCUCGCCGCCUGGGAAGUAUGGUCGCAAGACUGAAACUUAAAGGAAUUGACAAAGGAGCAC